rnacentral:rRNA from 1 species
GAGGAACACCGAUGGCGAAGGGCAGGUCUCUGGGCCACUACUGACGCUGAGAAGCGAAAGCGUGGGGAGCGAACAGGAUUAGAUACCCUGGUAGUCCACGCCGUAAACGUUGGGAACUAGGUGUGGGUCUCAUUCCACGAGAUCUGUGCCGCAGCUAACGCAUUAAGUUCCCCGCCUGGGGAGUACGGCCGCAAGGCUAAAACUCAAAGGAAUUGACGGGGGCCCGCACAAGCGGCGGAGCAUGUGGAUUAAUUCGAUGCAACGCGAAGAACCUUACCAAGGCUUGACAUAUACCGGAAACAUCCAGAGAUGGGUGCCCCGCAAGGUCGGUAUACAGGUGGUGCAUGGUUGUCGUCAGCUCGUGUCGUGAGAUGUUGGGUUAAGUCCCGCAACGAGCGCAACCCUCGUUCUAUGUUGCCAGCACGUCAUGGUGGGGACUCAUAGGAGACUGCCGGGGUCAACUCGGAGGAAGGUGGGGAUGACGUCAAAUCAUCAUGCCCCUUAUGUCUUGGGCUUCACACAUGCUACAAUGGCCGGUACAAAGGGCUGCGAAACCGCGAGGUGGAGCGAAUCCCAAAAAACCGGUCUCAGUUCGGAUUGGGGUCUGCAACUCGACCCCAUGAAGUCGGAGUCGCUAGUAAUCGCAGAUCAGCAACGCUGCGGUGAAUACGUUCCCGGGCCUUGUACACACCGCCCGUCAAGUCACGAAAGUCGGUAACACCCGAAGCCGGUGGCCCAACCC